AUGGCUACCGCCGCCGCCGUGGUGGAUGCUGCCAACUCGAAGCCGCGGGACACGGAGCGCCGCCCCCGCCGUCUUCGCAGGGUCAAGAAGAACAGGGCCGCGGGCGCCAAUGCGGCAGUCGGCGAGGGCACCAGGGAGAGCGCCGGUCCCGACCCCCACCCCCAGGUGGAGGUGGAGUACGUGCCGGAGAAGGCCGACCUCGACGUCGACGACCUCCUCCUCGGCGUCUUCACGACCAUCUUCGAGAAAUUCAGCUUCACGGUCACCGCCACCGCCAAGGGCGAGGGGAACGAGAAGGAAGCAUCUAAUGAUGCCGCAAAGAAGAAGGGGUCCGAUGUUGAUUAUGAUGAGCAGGAUGCCCCAAAAAAGAAGCAGCUGCAGAGGAUGAAGAUUGCAGAGUUGAAGCAGAUAUGCAACAAGCCUGAUGUUGUUGAGGUCUGGGAUGCUACUGCCGUUGAUCCCGAGUUGCUUGUAUAUCUCAAAUCCUACAGGAAUACUGUGCCUGUUCCAAGACACUGGUCCCAGAAACGAAAGUUCUUGCAGGCGAAGCGGGGUAUUGCAAAACGACCUUUCCAGCUUCCUGUCUUCAUUGCUGCAACUGGAAUUGAAAAAAUGAGACAGGCAUACAUUAAGAAGGAGAACAGCAAGAGGUCGAAACAGAAACAGCGCGGCUGUACUCAGCCCAAAAUGGGCAAGAUGGAUAUAGAUUAUCAGGAUUUGCAUGGCGCAUUCUUCAAAUAUCAAACAAAACCCAAUUUGACUAGUCAUGGUGAUCUGUAUUAUGAAGGGAAAGAGUUUGAGGUGAAGCUUAGGGAAAUGAAACCAGGUAUGCUGUCCAGGAAGCUUAAAGAAGCUCUUGGUAUGCCUGAUGGUGCCCCGCCCCCAUGGCUUAAAAGCAUGCAGCCGUAUGGUCCUCCACCCUCUUAUCCUUGUCUGAAGAUCCCGGGUUUAAAUGCCCCAGUAUCUCCAGGAGACAGUUUUGAUGAUGCACCAGGGGAGUGGGGAAAUCCUCCUAUUGGCGAGGAAGAACCUCUCGAUCGCAGUAAGCACUGGGGAGAAUUGGAGGAAGAGGAGGAGGUGGAGCAGGAACCAAUGGAGGACGAGGAAAUAGAAGAAGGCAUUCGAUCUGUUGACACCAUCUCAAGUACUCCAGCCGGUGCCGAAACACCUGAUGUUAUUGACCUUGGGAGGACGCAGCCUGAGAGGCAGGCAGAAAGGCUAUACAAGGUUCUUGAACGGAAAGAAGAAAGGAUAGCCACUGGGACGCUGUUUGGAUCGACGCACACGUAUCGUUUUUAG
rnacentral:rRNA from 1 species